GAUGAACGCUGGCGGCGUGCCUAAUACAUGCGAGUCGAGCGAACGGACGAGAAGCUUGCUUCUCUGAUGUUAGCGGCGGACGGGUGAGUAACACGUGGAUAACCUACCUAUAAGACUGGGAUAACUUCGGGAAACCGUAGCUAAUACCGGAUAAUAUUUUGAACCGCAUGGUUCAAAAGUGAAAGACGGUCUUGCUGUCACUUAUAGAUGGAUCCGCGCUGCAUUAGCUAGUUGGUAAGGUAACGGCUUACCAAGGCAACGAUGCAUAGCCGACCUGAGAGGGUGAUCGCCCACACUGGAACUGAGACACGGUCCAGACUCCUACGGGAGGCAGCAGUAGGGAAUCUUCCGCAAUGGGCGAAAGCCUGACGGAGCAACGCCGCGUGAGUGAUGAAGGUCUUCGGAUCGUAAAACUCUGUUAUUAGGGAAGAACAUAUGUGUAAGUAACUGUGCACAUCUUGACGGUACCUAAUCAGAAAGCCACGGCUAACUACGUG
rnacentral:rRNA from 1 species